rnacentral:rRNA from 1 species
AGGAACUGAGACGUCGACGCGCCGAAUCACGGCGUCCGGCCCUCCGCGAGCACCCGCGGGGGGGCGGGUUACGGACCCGGUCCGAUCCCGCUCCCACCGAGGGGCUGUCCGCGAUGAUGGAGGUGUCCUCGGACGGCGUCAGGAAUCGUCUCCGGUCCGCGACGCUACGGCUUGGAUGGUCCACCCGACCCGUCUUGAAACACGGACCAAGGAGUCUAACAUGCGCGCGAGUCGUUGGGUCGGACACGCUCCGCUAAACCCACAGGCGCAAUGAAAGUGAAGGCCGCCUUCCGGUGGCCGAGGGAGGACGGGGCCGCAUCGGGCGUUCCGGCGCCCGACGGUCCCCGCACCCCCGGGGCGUCUGAUCUCUCACCGCGAGGGGAGGCGCACCCAGAGCGCACACGUUGGGACCCGAAAGAUGGUGAACUAUGCUUGGCCAGGACGAAGUCAGGGGAAACCCUGAUGGAGGUCCGUAGCGAUUCUGACGUGCAAAUCGAUCGUCGGAGCUGGGUAUAGGGGCGAAAGACUAAUCGAACCAUCUAGUAGCUGGUUCCCUCCGAAGUUUCCCUCAGGAUAGCUUGUGCUCGGAGGAGAGUCUCAUCCGGUAAAGCGAAUGAUUAGAGGCCUUGGGGCCGAAACGGCUUCAACCUAUUCUCAAACUUUAAAUGGGUGAGAACUCCGGCUUGCUCGACUUAUCGAAGCCGGAGACGGGACCCGUUCCUCGGAGCGGGCCCCCGGGAUCGGAGUGCAUAGUGGGCCACUUUUGGUAAGCAGAACUGGCGCUGUGGGAUGAACCAAACGACGGGUUAAGGCGCCCGAAUCGACGCUCAUGGGAAACCAUGAAAGGUGUUGGUUGCUUAAGACAGCAGGACGGUGGCCAUGGAAGUCGGAAUCCGCUAAGGAGUGUGUAAUAACUCACCUGCCGAAGCAACUAGCCCUGAAAAUGGAUGGCGCUGAAGCGUCGUGCCUAUACCCGACCGUCGCGGCACGGCGGACCCGGCCUCGCGCCGGGUGCCGUUUGAUGCGGCGACGAGUAGGAGGGUCGCGGCGGCGGGCGCAGAAGGGUCUGGGCUCGAGCCUGCCUGGAGCCGCCGCUGGUGCAGAUCUUGGUGGUAGUAGCAAAUACUCCAGCGAGGCCCUGGAGGACUGAUGUGGAGAAGGGUUUCGUGUGAACAGCCGUUGCACACGAGUCAGUCGAUCCUAAGCCCUAGGAGAAAUCCGACGCCGACGGCGACGGGAAAAAAUUGAAAAUCGUCUGACGAAAGAAACCCGUUGAUCGGGCGAAAGGGAAUCCGGUUCCUAUUCCGGAACCCGGCAGCGGAACCGCUGUUUGUCGGGCCCUCGCAAGGGGUUCGUCAGGGUAACCUAAAAGGGCCCGGAGACGCCGUCGGGAGCCCCGGAAAGAGUUUUCUUUUCUGCAUGAGCGUUCGAGUUCCCUG